CAUGCAAGUCUACUUGAUCCUUCGGGUGAAGGUGGCGGACGGGUGAGUAACGCGUAAAGAACUUGCCUUACAGACUGGGACAACAUUUGGAAACGAAUGCUAAUACCGGAUAUUAUGACUGAGUCGCAUGAUUUGGUUAUGAAAGCUAUAUGCGCUGUGAGAGAGCUUUGCGUCCCAUUAGUUAGUUGGUGAGGUAACGGCUCACCAAGACGAUGAUGGGUAGCCGGCCUGAGAGGGUGAACGGCCACAAGGGGACUGAGACACGGCCCUUACUCCUACGGGAGGCAGCAGUGGGGAAUAUUGGACAAUGGACCAAAAGUCUGAUCCAGCAAUUCUGUGUGCACGAUGAAGUUUUUCGGAAUGUAAAGUGCUUUCAGUUGGGAAGAAGUCAGUGACGGUACCAACAGAAGAAGCGACGGCAAAAUACGUGCCAGCAGCCGCGGUAAUACGUAUGUCGCAAGCGUUAUCCGGAUUUAUUGGGCGUAAAGCGCGUCUAGGCGGUUUAGUAAGUCUGAUGUGAAAAUGCGGGGCUCAACCCCGUAUUGCGUUGGAAACUGUUAAACUAGAGUACUGGAGAGGUAGGCGGAACUACAAGUGUAGAGGUGAAAUUCGUAGAUAUUUGUAGGAAUGCCGAUGGGGAAGCCAGCCUACUGGACAGAUACUGACGCUAAAGCGCGAAAGCGUGGGUAGCAAACAGGAUUAGAUACCCUGGUAGUCCACGCCGUAAACGAUGAUUACUAGGUGUUGGGGGUCGAACCUCAGCGCCCAAGCUAACGCGAUAAGUAAUCCGCCUGGGGAGUACGUACGCAAGUAUGAAACUCAAAGGAAUUNGACGGGGACCCGCACAAGCGGUGGAGCAUGUGGUUUAAUUCGACGCAACGCGAGGAACCUUUACCAGCGUUUGACAUCCCAAGAAGUUAACAAAGAUGUUUUCGUGCCUCUUCGGAAGAACUUGGUGACAGGUGGUGCAUGGCUGUCGUCAGCUCGUGUCGUGAGAUGUUGGGUUAAGUCCCGCAACGAGCGCAACCCCUUUCGUAUGUUACCAUCAUUAAGUUGGGGACUCAUGCGAGACUGCCUGCGAUGAGCAGGAGGAAGGUGGGGAUGACGUCAAGUCAUCAUGCCCCUUAUACGCUGGGCUACACACGUGCUACAAUGGGUAGUACAGAGAGCUGCAAACCUGCGAGGGUAAGCUAAUCUCAUAAAACUAUUCUUAGUUCGGAUUGUACUCUGCAACUCGAGUACAUGAAGUUGGAAUCGCUAGUAAUCGCAAAUCAGCUAUGUUGCGGUGAAUACGUUCUCGGGUCUUGUACACACCGCCCGUCACACCACGAGAGUUGGUUGCACCUGAAGUAACAGGCCUAACCGUAAGGAGGGAUNUUCCGAGGG
rnacentral:rRNA from 1 species